rnacentral:rRNA from 1 species
CAGUCGCCACGGGAAUACAGAGGGUGCGAGCGUUAAUCGGAUUUACUGGGCGUAAAGCGUGCGUAGGCGGCUUUUUAAGUCGGAUGUGAAAUCCCUGAGCUUAACUUAGGAAUUGCAUUCGAUACUGGGAAGCUAGAGUAUGGGAGAGGAUGGUAGAAUUCCAGGUGUAGCGGUGAAAUGCGUAGAGAUCUGGAGGAAUACCGAUGGCGAAGGCAGCCAUCUGGCCUAAUACUGACGCUGAGGUACGAAAGCAUGGGGAGCAAACAGGAUUAGAGACCCCCGUAGUCCCUGUCUCUUAUAA